AAGCCGCAUCAUCCGGGCGAGCGUGCGGCUCACGACGAUGUCAAGCGAGUCCUGCGGAAGGUGGCGCUGCGGACGGCGUGGUGGUUAGCUCUUGGUGUGUCCCUGGUGUAUAAGUAGCCCCUGUGCUCCUCCGAUGUAAGUAGCUAGAGUCAAGUCCAUCUUCAGUGAAAUAAAGCCAACAUACAGGCCGGGGUGUUCGUCGUUGCAAAGUCUAUGUUUGUCGCUAUUGUUAUUCUUCCUCGCGUGUGUGGUGAGGGAGUGACUCCUGGACAAAGCUAACAGCCGGGUCAUCUUUGUCGCCCUCCGCUCAAGGCUGCCGCCACUGCUCGACGUCGCGUUAGAUUCGCCGCCAUGCCCCUCUCCAGAUCGGCCGCCGCGCGCCCGUCUCUAGAUCCAUCAUCGCUGCUCCCGUCAGUGGCCACCAUAGGCGCGCCCAUCUCCAGAGAUGUCGCCACUACAGUUGGCGGCCGACACAGUCGUGCCCAGUGCCAAGAUCCACCGUCACUGCCGUCGAGAUUCUCCCUUCUCCAUGCUUGAUGCUGCGUCGCCCCGCUGUCAUAAGAGAGGAAGCGAAACGAUGAUCAAGUUUAGUCCCACAUCGGGGAGCCAAGCACGCGCGCGCGUCCAUGGCCGAGAGGAAGGCGUGCCAAAUGGUUGAAGGAAGGCGCACCCGGCGUGCAGGAGCACCAUGGGUGGUAUGCGCAUGUAGCGGCCCCUAACGGAAAAAUCUGUAGAGUCGAGCGUACGACACAUACGCUUGGCAACCAUCAAUUUUUAUUUAUUUUUUUUGGUUCUA